GUGGCUAAAAUUUGUUUAAUCGCCCGAUCGCUCGGCAAGGGUCUGUGUCUUAGCUGGACUUAUUUUUCGUUUAUAUGGGCCGAUGAUGCUGGUCGAUGUGGAAAAAAUAACUGAGUUGUUUGGUGGUGGAGCUAGCCGGAGCUACAACAGAGGGCAGCUAUCCACCGGUGUGUGACAGAAAGGACAUGCCGCGAACCACACAUAGGAGGUGGGGCAGGCGACCGCCGAUCGACCGGUGGUUGCUAACCUGGAGGUCAAUCGUGGAUCAGGGAAAGCGAAGGUGGUUGCUAACCUGGAGGUCAAUCGUGGAUCAGGGAAAGCGAAGGCAGGAGCUGAGGGGUGAACUGAAUUUCAGAUCUGAACCAUUGUAAAGGUUGCAGUUCAAGGGCCUGAGGUGGAAGCAGAAUUUGUGAGGAUUACUACUGCUCCACUUGUUCCAAGGCUUUUUGCACAACUUGACCAAUACACUGACCAGCUCAUAAAAGUCUUCAAGAAAAAAGGAGGCACUGCAGUGAGGAAAAUUAGACAAAUUU
ensembl:lncRNA